rnacentral:piRNA from 1 species
AGUAACUGCUAGAUCCU